UGGCUGGUGUUUAGGGUUUUGCUUUCUACAAAAUACAGGCUCGCUUGUAGGCUGGAGCUGCAGGACAGAUCCAGGUGACAGAGGGCCACGAGGAAGCUGGGUCCGGGAUCUGGCGCGGAAGAGAGACUACCGGAAGGGGCCAGACCGGCUAAGGCCUAUGCGGGCCACACCCGCCAUUCUACCAUUCUUCCAAUGGCUGCAAGAGUUACUCUUGGUGGGAUUGAGAAGAGCUGCCCGAAGCAGACCCAGAGCUACGUUCCCCCACCAAGCCAGAGAGCCUUUAGAACAGCGGCAGGCUUAUCUUCCCUGACAACAACGGAGUCCCUGGAAAUCUCAGCGACCUGAAUGAAGGUGGCAGCGAGCUGCGGAUGUAGCAGAGGGAAGGAAGAGGGGACAAAAGAAACAACUGUCUAGAUGUUUAAAUCGGAACCGUCAAUCCCUCCCAGAGGAGUCUGUUACUGUGAUCCCCCGGCACUACUUCCUUCCUGGCCCCUCAUUUCCAUGAGGGGACACCUGUGAACACAGGUCUGCAGGAGCCCUGUGUUGUUGGGACCCAGAAGAUGUUUCAGGGGGUGAGGUCAUGCCCUACUCAAGCCUGCCAUGUGAGGUACCUCUCUCCUUUAGGUCCGCAGGUGUUUGUCUACGCGUAUGUUCCACCCAUGUGGCUGAUCAUGCCUGCAGGCCUCUCUCUGUCUCUAAACUCAUGCCCGUUCCCCCCAGAGACAUGACUUCAGUCCCUGCUUUGUGGCCAGUGAGAUGACUUAUCAGGAAAUGGAGAUUGCUGUGUAAACCUGGCAACCCAAGACCAGUCUCUGGAACCCAUGAGAAGAAGGUAGAGGAGAGAUCCAGCAACACAACUUUGUCCUCUGACUGACCGCCAUGAAUGUUGUGGCAUGGGCACCUAGCCACACCCAAAAAUAAAUGAAUGAAACAACAA